rnacentral:rRNA from 1 species
AUGCCGCGGUGAAUACGUUCCCGGGCCUUGUACACACCGCCCGUCACACCACGAGAGCUUGCAACACCCGAAGUCGGUGAGGCAACCCGCAAGGGAGCCAGCCGCCGAAGGUGGGGCAAGUGAUUGGGGUGAAGUCGUAACAAGGUAGCCGUACCGGAAGGUGCGGCUGGAUCACCUCCUUUCU